rnacentral:lncRNA from 1 species
GAAUAUGAAUUAAUUUAUUAAUUUGUAUAUUCACACCCAUAUUCAUAUCCAAACCUUUAUACCCAUAUUCACUAUGACCAUAUAAAUAUCCAUUACCCAAUUUAUAUAUUUAUAUCCCUAAAUAUCCAAUACCAUACCACAUAAAAUAUUGAAUACCCAUGAUCCAUAUCCAUAUAUAUAAUUUUCCAAAUCUUCUAUAAUAACCACAUCGAUCAUCCCCAAAUCUCCAACAUCCUUUUCCUGAUUCUUAAUGCUCUCUCCUCUCUCCUUUGCUCAAGCCUCGAAAUGAUAAUCACAACAAAGCACUACCAAAUAUGUUGCCAAAGGGAAAGCCAAGCCACGAUUGGAGAUAUUGCCAUAAAAAAAUCUAAUCCACCAUCCAAGAUGUUGACACCAACAUGAACAUAUGGGUAGCCAGUGACAAAGAAGAAGAAGAAGGGGGAUUUUGUGCCCCAACUCAAAGUCAUUUUCAAAACUCAACCAAGUCAAGCUAGUCCUUUCAGUAAAACAACCAAGUUAGCAUCGAAAUGUUGUGAAAUCGUAACUAAAUUAUAAAAAUUGCCUUGAACCUAGCCAAGGCAAAUAUGACUUAGACGUGUCUGGUAUGACUCAACCAAUACUUUGAACCUUUUUUUUGUAGAUAAAUUUUUGUCCUCAUUGGAACUUGAACCUAGAAUCUCCCACAACCCUCAAUAACCCUUUACCAUGAAUCAAGGCAACCAAUGACCAAGCUUCCCCUCUUCUUCCACCUAUAAAUACGUGGAGUCCACCUAAUGACAAACCUAAGAUAAUUACCUAGGGAUAGGGGGCCUACAAUUGGGUGAUGGUGACUUUAAAAUUUUUUCCAAUUAAAUUACAAGAUUACAUGUAAUAAUGAGCAUAAAAAGAAAGAGUCAACAAAAAAAUAAAAACAAGAAUAAUAAUAAAGAGAUCAAGAAAGAGUGCAAAUUCAGCACAAUCUUGCCUAUAUCCAUAGCUUCAAGAUCCAACCCAAGCCUCAAUGCUGCACUAUACAAAGGAUCCUUCAAACCAAAGAAUUUGUUAAUACACACGUGAUUUCUAGGUACCAAUCAACAUUUGCAACACCAUAAGUGUUUUUCCAAAACUUAGAAUCACUCUCUCAUAGAGUAUAAUGAAUUUGGAAUCAAGAAAACACAAGAACCAGCUUAGAAAGUAUUAGUAUAAUAGAAAAAAUAGCUAGUCUCAAUGUACAAUAAAUGAGAUUUGCAAGUUCUUUUUUUCUUUUUUUUUUUGAACAAUUGGAUGCUUUGCAGGUGGUAGUUUAUCCAUAAAUGAUGUUCAAGAAUAUUUUAUAUAGGAUUUUGACACAACAUAUUUUUCCAAUGAACCAGUUGAACAUCUGAUGAGGAUGAAUAUUCAAGAUAUAUAUCAAGAAAGGGAAUUAGUAUUAAUUGUAAUUAAAGUAGGAUUAUUAUUACUUGGAAUUAAAUUAGGAUUAAUAUUUUUUGGAGUCUAAUUAGGAUUAGCUAGUUGAGUUAUAAUAUAAUUAGAAUUUGAGUCAUGAUAGGUUAUUAGAGUCCUAGUAGAAUAGGUUAUUAGAGUCCUAGUAGACUUUGGAUUUCUUAGAGAAGCCUAUAAAUAGGCUAAUCAAUGUAAAUCAAAGGGAUGAAUUUUUUAUGAAUAAUAUUAUACUUUCUUUCAUUGCAAGGUUGCAACCCUCAAUGGUGAGACUCCAUUGAUUUUCUUCUAGAUGAGACUCCUAGAAGGCCUUAGUGAGACUCUAAGGUUUUCCAUCUUUUCUUCAUUGUUUCUUCUUUCUCUCUAUUUCUUAUCUUAUAGUUUUCUCUACCACAAAGUUUAUUCCUUGUUCCUCUCCUUACACCCUAAAAAUAAAACCCUAGCCCACCUACCCUUGAGUGUAGGCAACCAUCCUAGGGUUGUCCUACAUCAACAUCCAACCAGCCACUAUGCAUUAACUGCACUAGCAGGUAACAAUUGAGACUUAGAGUGCUCAAUCAGUUGACCACUUGUUCAUUUGGUUGGUCAUCUGCCAUACACUACCAGAAAUGCACUAACUGAGCAACUAGCACAACCAAUUGGUUAACCACCCAAGUUGGAAACACAAAAAAAUGUUGCCCAAGUGUCCUUCAACAAUUUCAAUUGGUUCGAUUUGAAAAUUUAAGAUUGAAAAACCCUUUUUCAAAUAUCCUUUAGCCACAAUUGGGUGAUGGUAAUUUAAAUUUUUUUUCCAAAUUACAAGAUUACAUCUUAAUAAUAAGGAUAUAGAGAAAUAAUCAAUAACAAAAGUAGAAAACAAUAAUAAUGAAGAGAUAAAGGAAAGAGAGUGCAAACAAAGAUUUUAAUGUGGUUUUGCACAAUCUUACCUACAUCCAUGACCUCAAGGUCGAACUUGAACCUUGAGAUGCUAUAUUAUAAGGAUCCUUUAAACCAAAGAAUCCUUUAAUGUACUCUUAAUUUCUAGACACCAGUGGACAUUUACAACACCACAACUACUCCUCCAAAACUUAGAAUCAUUCUCAUAAAGUAGAAUGAAUUUGAAAUUAAGAGACCACAAGAACUAGUUUAGCAAGUAUUACGUAGUAGAAAAGAUAGCUAGUUUCAAGCUGCAAUGAAUGAGGUUUGCAAGUUUUAGUAUAACUGCACUCAAAGUACUAAAACUCAAGGUUUGGACAAUAGGAUGAUUUGCAAUUGAUAUCUUAUCUAUAAAUGAGGUUCAAAAGUCUUUAAUAUAGGAUUUUUACAUAAUAUAACUAUUAAGAACAUUUUCCCGACGAACAGGUUGAUCACCUGGUCAACUAUCCAACUAGCCCACUGCACAUUAACUGUACUAACUAGUAACAAUUGAGAUUCAGAGUAAUAAAUCAGUUUACCACUUGCUUAGUUGUUUGGUCAUUCACUAAACACUACCUAAAAUGCACUAAUUGAGCAACUAGCACAGGUGAACCGGUCAAAUGAUUGGCAAACCACCUAGUCAACCACUCAAGUUGGAAACACAAAAAAUAUUGCACAAGUGUCCCUUAAUGGCUCAAUUGGUUCAAUUUGAAAACUUAAGAUUAAAACACCAUUUUUAAUGAUGAAAAUGGAUAUCAAAAUAUGAUUUUUUUUUUUUUUAUCCUUCUAUAAAUCAAACUUUUUUUUGUAUAUAUAAAAAUCAUCAGUAGUACAUAAAUAAGUUCUUUUAAAAAACAUUUUAAAGAAUUGAUUCUUUUUUGUUCAAAAAAUACUUCAAUUUUAACAGUGAAUUUUGAAGCAUACUUAUCCUCAUUGAUUAACAACUUGAUCUAGCCUAAAAAAAGAACCAAUAGAUAAAGAUUUUGAAAGAACCUUCUCUUGUAAUUUUAGCUUCUUUACUUGCAAUCGACCUUCUUCUUGAUAAAUCUUUAAGAGUGAUUCAAUUAAAUUUGUUUACAAUCCCAAACAAUAAUUAGAUUUACAAAUCAUUUAUUUGGUUAUCAUCAAAACUUAGGUAAACCAUAACCAAAAACGAUCCUUUAAUCCUACCUUCCCACACCACACAUCAAACCAAACCACCAAAAAUUUGUCCUCAUCACAUUGCCUACCUCAAGGCUAGUUUCUACCAAAGAUAUCAUCCCAUGCUCAACUAGUGGCUUUCCAAAGACUUAUCCCAUAAGUGCCCCUCCCCAUCCUACACCUCUCUAAACUUGCUCAAAAUGACUCUUCUCUAGAGGUUAUCAUGCUCCAUAGAAAGCCUUGAAUACUAAUUUCCUAAAAUAUUUCAUUAAGAACAGAAGGAUUUUUGCAUCGCAGUCCACCUCCCCAAAGGUUUAUGAGAGAAAUAAUCAUCUUCCUCAUCCUGCACCUCCUCAAACCAGCCGAAAAUGACGCUUCUCCAAAGAUUAGUAUGUUCCAUGACAAAACUUCAACACCAUUUUCCUAAUAAUGCUUCAUUAAGAAGAGAAAGAUUUUUGCACCUCAGCCCACCCCAUUAGCUUUUAAGGAGCAUAUGGAAGCCUGUCACCAAGUAAAUUUUCCUCUCUAUAUACCACAACAACACCUCCCCUUGGGAAUCACAAAGACAGACAAGAAAAUAUAUACUAGUAAACUUGAAAUAGUGUUCUUGAGUAGUGUAAAUAUCUCUCCCUUCGACAGAAAUUGCCUCUUCCAAAAAGCAAGUUUCUUCUUAAACCUUUUUUCCACAAGAUAACAAAUGGAGGACUGAAAAGGAGCAGCUAGAGGCAAACCUAGGUAAGUAGAAGGCAAGGGCUCUUGUUUUCAACCAAACCAUGAUGCAGGCUAGUCUAAGCCCAUUAUAUUUCCUAUUGAAUCAAGCUCACUUUUGCCAAGAUUAACUCUAAGUCCUGAAACCAAUCAAACCAAAAGAGCACCCAACUUGGAUAUAGUAACUGCUUGCUAUUGGACAUAAAGAGUAGUAAAGAGUAUCAUAGGAAAAUAGGAGAUUAGAGAUCCCCGCACCUUCAGCCCUGCUUCCCCUGACCUUGAAUCCACUAAUGAAACAACCCUCCUCCAUUUUACAAAUCAAACAACAUAACAUUUCCAUGAAGAGAACAAAUAGAUAAGAAGAGCCCUAUCACAAACUUGUUGAGUUUUGGAAGAAACCGGUAGGGAUCCCAUUGACCAACACUAAAAAUCUCACCAUAGGGAUACAGUUUUUUAUCCAUCCAUCCAUCCAUCUAUUUUCUUUUACCUAAAACUCAUUUUUGUGCAUAACAAAUAACAAAAAAUUUCAAUCCACAUGAUUAUAAGCUUUCUCAAUAUCCAAUUUACAUACCAAACCACUCUUCUACUUUUCAAUCUCAAAUGAAUGGUCUCAUUAACAAUCAACACUGCAUGUGAAUUCUAUCUCCCCCAUACAAUAGCAUUAUGAGAAUAAAAAGAUCAACCUUCUUCUUCAACCUAAGCAACCCCUUAGCCAAAAAGGUUAGAUAAACCACACACCAAGCUUAUUGGCCUAGGCAUUUUUAUAUCCUCUGCCCAUGUCCUUUUAAUGUACCAGAACCAAGAAAGUAGCAUUAAGAUUUUGGAAAUGUCCCAAGAUUGUGAAAAUCAAAGAAGUUCAAAACAUCUUCUCUCAAUGUGGACCAGCGCUUAGGCCAUCAAGCUAUGGAAAAGCCAUAUGGGCCUGGUGCUUUUUCACUACACAACUCUACAAAGUUGUCACCACCUCCUCAUUAAAAGGGCCCUUUCUAAUAUCUCUAUCUCUAGGAGUUUGAGGCUUAACCCCUCCAUUCCAAGUCUCUGGUCCCUAGGACUCAAGUAAAGAAGUUCAAGGCCAUCUGGUAGUAUGUAUUUCUGUUUUCACUCUCUUGAAAACAGAAAUCACAUCUGGCAUUAGACAGUAACAAUGACUCUAGGAGCAAGCUGAUGUUCAUUGCCAAGCCAUUCUCUUUACAACAUCUAAAAAAAGCAAAGAAAUAUUGCUUCUGUAAACAAUAGGGAUUUCUUUGCUUGAUAAUAACAUCAGGCCUUG